UUAAGACGUAUAACAAUGCCGGUCAAUACAAACUAUAGUUUUAAAUCCAAAGAAUUUGGCGGUAUCUUAAAUAAUCAGGGGAACCUGUACCUUAAUUUGAUAAUCCACACACAUCUAACCUUAUCUUGAAAUUCAGCCUGUGUACUGCUGUCGUCAGUAAACCUUAAAAAGAUAGUUUACAAAAAUAUUAUAUUAUAUACGUCAAGUCAAAGUGCAGCCAAUGAUAUGGAGGAAUAUGGGUUACAAUUUUUAAAUAAAAACGAAUUAUUAAAAUAAAAAUAAUAUAAAGGUGGACUUGACAGUAAUACUUACAAAUAAUUAGUAUAAACUAAAACCUAAGAUAUGCACACAUCGCCCGUCGCUCUCGUUCAAUUUG
rnacentral:rRNA from 1 species